rnacentral:lncRNA from 1 species
GUACAAGAAGGAAUUCCAGAAAUGGAAGACCAAGUUCAGCAGCCCGGUGGACAUGCUCGGCUUGGUGCUGGCCAGGAAGUGCCAGACUCUGGUCAGCGACAUUGACUACAGGAACUACCUUCAUAACUGGACUUGCCUGCCUGACCAGAACGACAUUAUUCAAGCAAAGAAGGCCUAUGAACUGCAGAGUGAUAGUGUGUAUAAAGCAGAUCUGGAGUGGCUGCGUGGCAUUGGCUGGAUACCAGAAGGCUCCGUGGAAAUGACCAGAGUGAAGGGCGCCCAAGACCUUGUGAAUGAGAGAUUGUAUAGGACACGGCCAGAAGCCUUGAAGUUCACCUCCAUUGUGGACACUCCAGAAGUUGUCCUGGCAAAAGCCAAUUCUCUGCAAAUGAGUGAG